rnacentral:rRNA from 1 species
CAGUCGCCGCGGUAAUACGAAGGGUGCAAGCGUUACUCGGAAUUACUGGGCGUAAAGCGUGCGUAGGUGGUGGUUUAAGUCCGUUGUGAAAGCCCUGGGCUCAACCUGGGAAUUGCAGUGGAUACUGGGUCACUAGAGUGUGGUAGAGGAUAGUGGAAUUUCCGGCGUAGCAGUGAAAUGCGUAGAGAUCGGAAGGAACAUCUGUGGCGAAGGCGACUAUCUGGGCCAACACUGACACUGAGGCACGAAAGCGUGGGGAGCAAACAGGAUUAGAUACCCCGGUAGUCCCUGUCUCUUAUAC